UACGUAGGUGGCAAGCGUUGUCCGGAUUUACUGGGCGUAAAGAGCGCGCAGGCGGCCAAGUCAGUCGAAUGUGAAAUCCCAUGGCUCAACUGUGGGCUUGCAGCCGAUACGGGCGGGCUAGAGUUCGGUAGGGGAGACUGGAAUUCCUGGUGUAGCGGUGAAAUGCGCAGAUAUCAGGAGGAACACCGGUGGCGAAGGCGGGUCUCUGGGCCGAUACUGACGCUGAGGAGCGAAAGCGUGGGGAGCGAACAGG
rnacentral:rRNA from 1 species